rnacentral:rRNA from 1 species
UACGUAGGGUGCGAGCGUUGUCCGGAAUUAUUGGGCGUAAAGAGCUUGUAGGCGGUUUGUCGCGUCUGCUGUGAAAAUCCGGGGCUCAACCCCGGACUUGCAGUGGGUACGGGCAGACUAGAGUGUGGUAGGGGAGACUGGAAUUCCUGGUGUAGCGGUGAAAUGCGCAGAUAUCAGGAGGAACACCGAUGGCGAAGGCAGGUCUCUGGGCCAGCUACUGACGCUGAGAAGCGAAAGCAUGGGAGCGAACAGG